rnacentral:rRNA from 1 species
UACGUAGGGGCCUAGCGUUGUCCGGAUUUAUUGGGCGUAAAGAGCGUGUAGGCGGCCAGGUAGGUGGGUUGUGAAAACUGGAGGCUCAACCUUCAGACGUCGACCCAAACCCCCUGGCUAGAGUCCGGAAGAGGAGAGUGGAAUUCCUGGUGUAGCGGUGAAAUGCGCAGAUAUCAGGAAGAACACCCGUGGCGAAGGCGGCUCUCUGGGACGGUACUGACGCUGAGACGCGAAAAGCGUGGGGAGCGAACAGG